rnacentral:RNase_P_RNA from 1 species
UGAGUAGGACAGACAAUCGCAGCUGCUAUUGCCGAAAGGACGCAGGUGAGGAAAGUCCGGGCUUCACAGGGCAGGAUGCCGGAUAACGUCCGGUGGAGGUGACUCUAAGGAUAGUGCAACAGAAAUAUACCGCCAACACUCAGUUGAGAUGGUAAGGGUGGAAAGGCAGUGUAAGAGACUACCGCCCAUAUGGUAACAUAUGGGGCACAUGUAAACCCCAUCCGAAGCAAGACCGAACAGAAAGCAUAUGGCUGCCCGUCAGCUUUCGGGUAGGUCGCUUGACUUUACCGGCAACGGUAAAGCUAGAUAGAUGAUUGUCAAACACAUAACCCGGCUUAUAGUUCUGCUCGACAU